AUAUUGGACAAUGGGGGCAACCCCGAUCCAGCAAUGCCGCGUGUGUGAAGAAGGCCUUCGGGUUGUAAAGCACUUUAGGCUGGGAAGAAGAUGUAUUGUUUAAGAGAUGAUACGUUUGACUGUACCAGCAGAAUAAGCACCGGCUAACUCUGUGCCAGCAGCCGCGGUAAUACAGAGGGUGCGAGCGUUAAUCGGAGUUACUGGGCGUAAAGGGCGCGUAGGCGGAUAUUUAAGAUGGGUGUGAAAUCCCUGGGCUUAACCUAGGAAUUGCAUUCAAGACUGGAUAACUGGAGUACUGUAGAGGGUAGUGGAAUUUCCGGUGUAGCGGUGAAAUGCGUAGAGAUCGGAAGGAACACCAGUGGCGAAGGCGGCUACCUGGACAGAUACUGACGCUGAGGCGCGAGAGCGUGGGGAGCAAACAGGAUUAGAUACCCUGGUAGUCCACGCUGUAAACGAUGAGAACUAGAUGUUGUUAGGCAUAGACCUAUUAGUAUCGAAGCUAACGCGAUAAGUUCUCCGCCUGGGGAGUACGGCCGCAAGGUUAAAACUCAAAGGAAUUGACG
rnacentral:rRNA from 1 species